GACGAACGCUGGCGGCGUGCCUAAUACAUGCAAGUUGAGCGAUGAAGAUUGGUGCUUGCACCAAUUUGAAGAGCAGCGAACGGGUGAGUAACGCGUGGGGAAUCUGCCUUUGAGCGGGGGACAACAUUUGGAAACGAAUGCUAAUACCGCAUAACAACUUUAAACAUAAGUUUUAAGUUUGAAAGAUGCAAUUGCAUCACUCAAAGAUGAUCCCGCGUUGUAUUAGCUGGUUGGUGAGGUAAAGGCUCACCAAGGCGAUGAUACAUAGCCGACCUGAGAGGGUGAUCGGCCACAUUGGGACUGAGACACGGCACAAACUCCGACGGGAGGCAGCAGUAGGGAAUCUUCGGCAAUGGACGAAAGUCUGACCGAGCAACGCCGCGUGAGUGCAGAAGGUUUUCGGAUCGUAAAACUCUGUUGGUAGAGAAGAACGUUGGUGAGAGUGGAAAGCUCAUCAAGUGACGGUAACUACCCAGAAAGGGACGGCUAACUACGUG
rnacentral:rRNA from 1 species